rnacentral:rRNA from 1 species
UACUAGAGUAGCACUCGCAUAUCAAUAAGCGGAGGAAAAGAAACUAACAAGGAUUCCCCUAGUAACGGCGAGUGAAGCGGGAAGAGCUCAAAUUUGAAAUCUUAAAGGGUUUCCCUUUACGAAUUGUAGUUUAAAGAAGUGUUUUCUGUUGAGGUUUUGGUAAAAGUUCUUUGGAAUAGGACAUCAUAGAGGGUGAGAAUCCCGUAUUUGACCUUUACUUUCAACUUUGUGAUACACUUUCAAAGAGUCGGAUUGUUUGGGAAUGCAGUCCAAAAUGGGUGGUAAAUUUCAUCUAAAGCUAAAUAUUGGCGAGAGACCGAUAGCGGACAAGUACCGUGAGGGAAAGAUGAAAAGAACUUUGAAAAGAGAGUUAAACAGUACGUGAAAUUGUCAAAAGGGAAGCGUUUGACACCAGUGUUGUUUUUCUGAAAAUCAAUUAAAGAACUGUUUAUGCUAAGCUGUUUAGACUUUAUCAGCUAUCUGUUUAGUUUUGAGCUUUUCUUUAAUGCACCUUUUCAGGUUAACAAGUCAACAUCAAUUUCUUUUGCUGUAAAAAAGCUUGAGGAGGGUGGCUUGAGAUUCGUCUUAAGUGUUUAUAGCCUCUUGCCUAUGCAGUCGGAGAGAUUGAGGUCUGCAGCGUAGAUCCUUCGGGGCUGAAUGCAUUUGUGCUAAGUUAUAGCAUUUUAUAGACAACUUGUUGACUAUGAUUUGUCUUGUAGCUUACUCGCUUAUGUUAUUUUACCUACGCUUAGGAUGUUGAACUACUGAGACAUAGA